GACAAUAAGCAGUUUAAUUUAAAAUUAACAUAAAAAUGCCUAUACUUAAAGAUAUAUACUGCCCAGAAUGAAGCAAAACGUAUAGGUACUUUUUUGCUGUUGUUAGACUUGAGUGAGAAUGAAUUAUAAUGUUUAAAUAUAAUGUGAUAAACUACACAUAAGACACCUAGUGAAACUAAGGUGAACUGACUUCAUUCAUCCACUAAACCCAGUUGAUUGAACGUCAAAAAUGUCUCAGAAAAGUCCAAUUAGUUAGCAGCAUUUUUAUUUUUAUGUUUUGCACAUAGCACUUGCUUUUAUAUUCCAUUAUGUAAUAUGAAUAACAUUCAACAUUGAUCUAAGCAUCCAAACACGUUUUGGGGCCACUGCAGGUCUGCAUGGAAACACAUACUGUAAACGACCGACUGUAAAGCCAGUGACAGCUCGCUGAAGGGGGCGUGGCGCGGGGGCCGCUCAAUGGUCUCGUGCGGGAUAGCGUGGCGCGCGGCGCUUGCGCUCAGCGAAGCAGCGUGUCCUGCGCGAGACUGCAGCUCUGUCAGUGCCAGCCGCUGGACGAGAGGAAAUACAUGUCCCAGCAUCCCACAGACCUGCCUCUCUGGAGCUAAAUGCCACAAGGCACCCGGGUGCCCGAGUCAUCGCGGACUAAUAGAUGGAGAGGGAACGGCCACGCUGUCAGGUGACAUUGAGCCCAGAGAGUUUUCUCCUUUGGCACAGAGAACAGGAUUUUCAGACUGACUCACCUGGAGUACACUGAAUUUAAAUCUCUGAAGUGGAUCAUCAUAAAGCAACUGCAGAAUACUGGGACUUGAGAGCAUUUGUGGAAAAACAUAUUUGCCAUGGAUUUUCAAGGACAAGAAUAGACAAGAAACAGAAGAGGCAGAAUUUCCUGUAACUGAAAAAAAAAGAAAAUUGUAGUUGUAUUUCAUAUAAUUCCUUUUGAAGACGUUCUUCUCACAUUAAGCAAUAAUGUAUACAGAAUGCUCCAAUUGUGACAAAUAUGUACAAUCCAUGCAUAUGUCAUGUGGAACAAAGUAUUAUGCGAUGCUCUGAAUGGUCAUAAAUUAAUUGGUCAUUCAUACAGUCUGCAAUAAACAGUACC
ensembl:lncRNA